GAAGUAGGAGAAUAUUGUACAGGAAGUAGGAGUGUAAUUAACAGACUUCACAGAGGUCAAGAUGGAGGCGAGGACAGCAGGCAAGUGGGAAAGAAUCAUGGGUGAGUGCACUUUUCAUCCGUUGACCCUGUCAUCCCUUUUAGGUUUUUUUAUCGACCACAGAUAGAUAAGGCUUAGGGUAUAACUGGGGCUUGAGCCUAUGGAAGGCAUGGCUCUUCUGAGCACGCAUGACAUUGAAAUAAUUAAUUUGAUGGAAAUGCAAGAAAUGAUUGUCAGACCUUCUACUACCUUGAGCCUACUGAUACCUCUACAUCUCUACAAUCCAGAGAAGAUCAUUUGUUCUGAUAAUGAUCCCAAUAUUAACCCUUGACUCCAUUAUUAGAGCUUUCUGAAAUAUGUCAGGUGCUGAAAGAACAUAUUUAUGUGAUAAGUGUAUUUUGUUUGAGAUGGACAAAAAGUGAAUGAUGUGCAAGAGAAUACUAUUUUGAAACACAUGCAUAGCUUUUGUAUUUAUUUAUUUUUAAUUAAUCAUUAUUAUUUAUUUGAGAUAGAGUCUCACUUACUCUGUU